rnacentral:rRNA from 1 species
GUCGAGCGAUUUACUUCGGUAAAGAGCGGCGGACGGGUGAGUAACGCGUGGGUAACCUGCCCUAUACACACGGAUAACAUACCGAAAGGUAUGCUAAUACGAGAUAAUAUAAGAAAUUCGCAUGGAUUUCUUAUCAAAGCUUUUGCGGUAUAGGAUGGACCCGCGUCUGAUUAGCUAGUUGGUAAGGUAACGGCUUACCAAGGCGACGAUCAGUAGCCGACCUGAGAGGGUGAUCGGCCGCAUUGGAACUGAGACACGGUCCAAACUCCUACGGGAGGCAGCAGUGGGGAAUAUUGCACAAUGGGCGAAAGCCUGAUGCAGCAACGCCGCGUGAGCGAUGAAGGCCUUCGGGUCGUAAAGCUCUGUCCUCAAGGAAGAUAAUGACGGUACUUGAGGAGGAAGCCCCGGCUAACUACGUGCCAGCAGCCGCGGUAAUACGUAGGGGGCUAGCGUUAUCCGGAAUUACUGGGCGUAAAGGGUGCGUAGGUGGUUUCUUAAGUCAGAGGUGAAAGGCUACGGCUCAACCGUAGUAAGCCCUUGAAACUGAGAAACUUGAGUGCAGGAGAGGAGAGUAGAAUUCCUAGUGUAGCGGUGAAAUGCGUAGAUAUUAGGAGGAAUACCAGUUGCGAAGGCGGCUCUCUGGACUGUAACUGACACUGAGGCACGAAAGCGUGGGGAGCAAACAGGAUUAGAUACCCUGGUAGUCCACGCCGUAAACGAUGAGUACUAGCUGUCGGAGGUUACCCCCUUCGGUGGCGCAGCUAACGCAUUAAGUACUCCGCCUGGGAAGUACGCUC